GAUGAACGCUGACAGAAUGCUUAACACAUGCAAGUCUUUGGCGAAUCUGUUCUUGCGUAGGCUAGCCACGGCGGACGGGUGAGUAACGCGGUAAGAACUUGCCGCGCAUACAGGGAUAACAGACGGAAACGACUGAUAACAGCUAAGACAAUUGCCGGCACGCACGUGCCUGGCAAUGAAAAGAGAUGCUGCAGGAGAGCUUUGCGUCCUAGUAGCUUGUUGGUGAGGUGACGCAUCACCAAGGCGAUGAUAGGCAGCCGGCCUGGGAGGGUGACCGGCCCCAAGGGGAUUGGGCUACGGCCAUAACCCCUACGGAGGGAAGCAGUGGGGAAUAUUGGACAAUGGCGGCAACCUGAAUCCAGCAAGUCUGUGUGCACGAAGAAGGUUUUCGGAUUGUAAAGUGCUUUAAGAAGGGAAGAAGGAAGUGACGGUAACUGCAGAAGAAGCGACGGCUAAAUACGUGC
rnacentral:rRNA from 1 species